GCAAGGUAUCAUGGGCGCACGGCGGAUGCCUUGGCAUCGGAAGUCGACGAAGGGCGCGGCAAGCCGCGAUAGGCCCGGGGGAGGCGCAAACGGCCUUCGAUCCCGGGAUUCCCGAAUGGGGGAACCCAGCCGCCGUCAUGGGCGGCUACCCGAUUGGAGACCAUCCUUUCGGGGGACAACCGGGGGAACUGAAACAUCUAAGUACCCCGAGGAGGAGAAAUCAACCGAGAUCGCGCGAGUAGCGGCGAGCGAAAGCGCGCGAGCCCAAACCGGAUACGGCGCCAAGGCUGGGGCCGUUGCCUAUCCGGCGUUGCGGGACGCAGAGCCCGGGGCCCCCAGGCCCCGGCCGCAGUCAGAAAACCACGUUCGAGCGGAACGGCAUGGGAAGGCCGGCCGCAGCGGGUGAGAGCCCCGUACGCGAAGGACGAGGUCUGCGGUCUGCGAUCCAGAGUAGGGCCGGGCACGUGAAACCCGGUCCGAAGCAGGGGGGACCACCCUCCAAGGCUGAACACUCUCCGAUGACCGAUAGCGAACCAGUACCGCGAGGGAAAGGUGAAAAGCACCCCGAGAGGGGAGUGAAACAGCGCCUGAAACCGUGCGCCCCCAAGCAGCGGGAGCCGUUCUGACGACGGUGACCGCGUGCCUUUUGUAGAAUGAGCCUGCGAGUCGCGGCAUGCGGCGAGGUUAAGGGACACCGAGCCGCAGCGAAAGCGAGCCUGAACAGGGCGAUUUGAGUCGCAUGCCGCGGACGCGAAGCCGGGUGAGCUAUCCAUGGGCAGGGUGAAGCGGGGGUAAGACCCCGUGGAGGCCCGAACCCACUUCGGUUGAAAACGGAGGGGAUGACCCGCGGAUAGGGGUGAAAGGCCUAUCAAACCCGGAGAUAUCUCGUUCUCCCCGAAACAGCUUUAGGGCUGGCCCCGGGCAUUGACCAUCGGAGGUAGAGCACUGGACCGGCGAGGGGGCCUCACCGCCUACCGACCCAGACCAAACUCCGAAUGCCGAUGGUUUGGACCCCGGGAGUCAGAGCGCGUGGGCUAAGCUGCGCGCUCGAGAGGGAAACAGCCCAGACCGCCCGCCAAGGCCCCAAAGGCCGUGCUAAGUGGCAAAGGAUGUGCGCCCGCCCAGACAACCAGGAUGUUGGCUUAGAAGCAGCCAUGCAUUCAAAGAGUGCGUAACAGCUCACUGGUCGAGUGGGGGCGCGCCGACAAUGCGCGGGGCUCAAGCACGGCGCCGAAGCGGCGGAAUCAUUUAUUUGAUUGGUAGGGGAGCUUUCCAUGCCGGGCGAAGCCGGAGGCGCGAGCCCCGGUGGACGGCAUGGAAGUGAGGAUGCAGGCAUGAGUAGCGAGAGAGCGGCGAGAAACCGCUCCGCCGAAAACCCAAGGUUUCCUGGGCGAGGCUAAUCCCCCCAGGGUCAGCCGGGAGCUAAGGCGAGGCCGGAAGGCGCAGCCGAUGCACGACGGGCAGACAUUCCCGUGCCGGCGCGGGCGCGCUACGACCGAUGGGACGACGGGGAAGGAUACGCGAGCGGGGUUCUGGACGUCCCCGUGAAAGCGCGUAGGGAGGGGCCCAGGGAAAUCCGGUCCCCAACAAUCCCGAGACGCGAGACGAGCCCUAUGGCGAAGUCGCGGAUUCCAAGCCUCCUAGAAAAAUCCCUAGGCAGCGCCCACGCCGCCCGUACCAAAACCGACACAGGUGGGUAGGAAGAGCAUUCCGAGGCGAUCGGGGCAACCAUGGUCAAGGAACUCGGCAUAAUCGUCCCGUAACUUAGGGAGAAGGGACGCCCCCCAGCGUGUACCGGCUCGCCCGGGAAGCGCCGGGGGGCCGCAGCGAAAGGGCCCAAGCGACUGUUUACCAAAAACACAGGACUCUGCCAAGCCGCGAGGCGAAGUAUAGGGUCUGACGCCUGCCCGGUGCCGGAAGGUCACGGGGAUCCGUUAGAGAGAUCGAAGCGGUGAACCCAAGCCCCGGUAAACGGCGGCCGUAACUAUAACGGUCCUAAGGUAGCGAAAUUCCUUGUCGGGUAAGUUCCGACCUGCACGAACGGCGCAACGACUUGGGCGCUGUCUCGACCAUGGGCCCGGCGAAAUUGCAUUAUCCGUGAAGAUGCGGAUUC
rnacentral:rRNA from 1 species